rnacentral:rRNA from 1 species
CACGUAGGGCGCGAGCGUUGUCCGGAAUUAUUGGGCGUAAAGAGCUCGUAGGCGGCCUGUUGCGUCCGCUGUGAAAGCCCGGGGCUUAACCCCGGGUCGGCAGUGGAUACGGGCAGGCUAGAGGUAGGUAGGGGAGAAUGGAAUUCCCGGUGUAGCGGUGAAAUGCGCAGAUAUCAGGAGGAACACCGGUGGCGAAGGCGGCUUCUUGGGCCUUUACUGACGCUGAUGCGCGAAAGCCAGGGGAGCGAACGGG